GACGAACGCUGGCGGCGUGCUUAACACAUGCAAGUCGAACGGAGAGGCCCUGCUUUUGUGGGGUGCUCGAGUGGCGAACGGGUGAGUAACACGUGAGUAACCUGCCCUUGACUUUGGGAUAACUGCAGGAAACUGGGGCUAAUACCGGAUAGGAGCUCCUGCUGCAGGGGGGGGGUUGGAAAGUUUCGGCGGUUGGGGAUGGACUCGCGGCUUAUCAGCUUGUUGGUGGGGUAGUGGCUUACCAAGGCUUUGACGGGUAGCCGGCCUGAGGGGGUGACCGGCCAAAUUGGGACUGAGAUACGGCCAAGACUCCUACGGGAGGCAGCAGUGGGGAAUAUUGAACAAUGGGCGGAAGCCUGAUGCAGCAACGCCGCGUGCGGGAUGACGGCCUUCGGGUUGUAAACCGCUUUCGCCUGUGACGAAGCGUGAGUGACGGUAAUGGGUAAAGAAGCACCGGCUAACUACGUG
rnacentral:rRNA from 1 species